rnacentral:tRNA from 1 species
GGGGUAGAAGUUCAAUUGGACGAAUGCCUGUCUGUCGAACAGGAGGUUGCGGGUUCGAACCCCGUGUGCCCCG